ACUUCGGUCCUAGCGGCGAACGGGUGAGGAAUGCUUGGGAAUCUGCCCAGUAGCGGGGGAUAACGUUUCGAAAGGAACGCUAAUACCGCAUACGCCCUACGGGGGAAAGGGGGGGAUCUUCGGACCUCUCACUAUUGGAUGAGCCCAAGUCGGAUUAGCUAGUUGGUGAGGUAAAGGCUCACCAAGGCGACGAUCCGUAGCUGGUCUGAGAGGAUGAUCAGCCACACUGGAACUGAGACACGGUCCAGACUCCUACGGGAGGCAGCAGUGGGGAAUAUUGGACAAUGGGCGAAAGCCUGAUCCAGCCAUGCCGCGUGUGUGAAGAAGGCCUUCGGGUUGUAAAGCACUUUAAGCGAGGAGGAGGGGCUCUAGGUUAAUACCUUGGAGCAUUGACGUUACUCGCAGAAUAAGCACCGGCUAACUCUGUGCCAGCAGCCGCGGUAAUACAGAGGGUGCAAGCGUUAAUCGGAAUUACUGGGCGUAAAGCGCGCGUAGGCGGUUACGUAAGUUGGGUGUGAAAUCCCCGGGCUCAACCUGGGAAUUGCACUCAAAACUGCGUGGCUAGAGUGUGGGAGAGGAAGGUAGAAUUCCAGGUGUAGCGGUGAAAUGCGUAGAUAUCUGGAGGAAUACCGAUGGCGAAGGCAGCCUUCUGGCCUAACACUGACGCUGAGGUGCGAAAGCAUGGGGAGCAAACAGGAUUAGAUACCCUGGUAGUCCAUGCCGUAAACGAUGUCUACUAGCCGUUGGGGGACUUGAUCCUUUAGUGGCGCAGCUAACGCAUUAAGUAGACCGCCUGGGGAGUACGGUCGCAAGACUAAAACUCAAAUGAAUUGACGGGGGCCCGCACAAGCGGUGGAGCAUGUGGUUUAAUUCGAUGCAACGCGAAGAACCUUACCUGUCUUGACAUGUC
rnacentral:rRNA from 1 species